rnacentral:rRNA from 1 species
CCUACGGGUGGCAGCAGUGAGGAAUAUUGGUCAAUGGGCGAGAGCCUGAACCAGCCAAGUCGCGUGAGGGAGUACUGCCCUAUGGGUUGUAAACCUCUUUUGUCGGGGAGCAAAAGCCGGACGUGUCCGGCUGUGAGAGUACCCGAAGAAAAAGCAUCGGCUAACUCCGUGCCAGCAGCCGCGGUAAUACGGAGGAUGCGAGCGUUAUCCGGAUUUUUUGGGUUUAAAGGGUGCGCAGGCGGAUUUUUAAGUCAGCGGUCCAAUCGUGGGGCGCAACCCCAGCCAGCCGGUGAAACUGGGGAUCGGGAGUGGGCGAGAGGUAUGCGGAAUGCGUGGUGUAGCGGGGAAAUGCAGAGAUAUCACGCAG